rnacentral:rRNA from 1 species
GACGAACGCUGGCGGCGUGCCUAAUACAUGCAAGUCGAGCGAAGUUUUUCUGGUGCUUGCACUAGAAAAACUUAGCGGCGCACGGGUGAGUAACACGUAAAGAACCAGCCUCAUAGACUGGGACAACUAUUGGAAACGAUAGCUAAUACCGGAUAACAGUAUUUCUCGCAUGAGAGAUAUUUAAAAGUUGGUUAUGCUAACACUAUGAGAUGGCUUUGCGGUGCAUUAGCUAGUUGGUGGGGUAAAGGCCCACCAAGGCGACGAUGCAUAGCCGACCUGAGAGGGUGAUCGGCCACACUGGGACUGAGACACGGCCCAGACUCCUACGGGAGGCAGCAGUAGGGAAUCUUCCGCAAAGGGCGAAAGCCUGACGGAGCAACGCCGCGUGAGUGAAGAAGGAGUUCGGUUCGUAAAGCUCUGUUGUUAGGGAAGAAUGGAUAUGUAGUAACUAUACAUGUAAGAGACGGUACCUAAUCAGAAAGCCACGGCUAACUACGUG